UUAUGGCUCAGAAUGAACGCUGGCGGCAUGGAUUAGGCAUGCAAGUCGAACGAGAAAGCGGCUUCGGCCGCGAGUAGAGUGGCGAAAGGGUGAGUAGCACGUGGGGAACCUGCCCCGGGGACCGGAACAAGCCUGUGAAAACGGGUCUGAAACCGGAUGCCGCGCCCGUCCGCAUGGGCGGAGCGCGAAACAUUCAUGGCCCCGGGAUGGCCCCGCGCCCCAUUAGCUUGUUGCGGGGUGACGGCCCACCAAGGCUGCGACGGGUAGGUGGUCUGAGAGGAUGGUCACCCACACCGGGACUGAGACACUGCCCAGACUCCUACGGGAGGCUGCAGUCGAGAAUCUUCCGCAAUGGGCGCAAGCCUGACGGAGCGAUGCCGCGUGAGGGAAGAAGGCCCUCGGGUCGUAAACCUCUGUCGGACGGGACGAACGCGAUGACGGUACCGUCCAAGGAAGCCACGGCUAACCACGUGCCAGCCGCUGC
rnacentral:rRNA from 1 species